rnacentral:lncRNA from 1 species
AAAUUGAAGGAUGUUAUAUAUGAACUUGAAAUUUUAGAUAAUUUUAUUUUUGUCAAAAAAAAUUGUGUAUACCUAAGUUGCGUGUAAUAUACUAAUAAUAUAUAGCUAAGAUGUGCAUGUAUCAAGACAUUCAUUUGAAAUUUCACAUUAUUUAUAUCAAAAUUAGCAUGAAUAAUUCUUUAAAAAAUUGUGUGGGCCCCACAAACCUUCAAAAUAAGGAGAGGCCUUCAUUAGGAUUAUCGAUUCAUAUAUAUAUGUUUUGAGAACUAAAGUGAAAAGCAUAUAAAAUUUAGGGAUCAAAAUUAGCAUGAAAAAAAAGGUUAAAUAUGCGAUGACAUGAUAAUUUCGAUAAUUAUAAAAUAUUUUUUAACGGUUGCUAUUUUAUCACGAUGAAAUUAAGAGAUUUGAAAACUUAAUUGUAAAAAAGAAAAUUGGAACCAAAAUAAAACGGUGGAAAAUUUGGGCAUCACUAUGUAAUUAAUCCUAAAAAAAUCUCAAAAAAAUCCCAUAAUAAGGGGAGGCAUUCAUUCUUUAAGUUCCAAAUUAGAUAAAAUUUUAAUUUGGUUAUCUAUAGUAAAAAUAAUAAAAAAUUGUUGUAGAAAAAAAAUAAAAAAAAAAUAUUGAGAGAGGAAAAAUAAAAAAAUGUAAGAGAGAGAGAGAGAGAGAGAGAGAGAGAGUGUGUGUGUGAGUGAGAGAAAAAAAAAAAAAAAAAAGUGGGACCCACCAAAGCUUCCCGCCAAAUAUGGGAAAAAUUCUAGAAUGCAACGGGUAUAUUGGUGACGUGGCAUAACAAACCAAUCAAAUGUAUCCUUUUAGGGAUAUAUGUUCUAUCAUGAUUGUAAAAAAAAUAUUUUUAUUGUACUUUUGUUUGAAAAGAAGAAAUAUGAUUAGCUUGUUAUUAAUGACGUGGUGCAAGCGUGACAGUGUAGAAUUCCUCCAAACGCGGGGAGGCUUUGGUGGGUUCCAAAUUCACAAUAUAAUAAAUGCCUACAUUCUAUUCAAUAAAAUUUAAUAUUUUACAAACAUAAAUGUAAUUUUAACGUAAAACUUCUAGUAAAAUAAAUAAAGAAUAUAAGAAAAAACCAUGUAUCUUAUCUCCCUAUAAUAUAUAUCAAUAUCUUUCUUUAUCAUAUCUAUAAUAUCCGCACUUUUUUCAUAUGUGAAUUAGAAUACAUUCAUGUGUAUAGGAUGCUAAAUUUUGAUAUCUAUAUUUGUGUCUUAUCGAAUUCAGUAUCGACUUGAAACGGAUUUUAUCCUAUCUGCUUUUAUUCCGAUGGCUAAUAUGCCCGAAU